rnacentral:misc_RNA from 1 species
UCGCAGGAACGCGGUCGCAUAGUCGUCCGGCAGCGCCGCGACGCCCUCGAGGCGAACUAGACGCUUUACGCUCUGUGCUCGCUAGCGAGACAUUUCGGCGUUUCUAACCUUGUCCCGACGCUGCGUGUCGCUCCUACAGUUCGUACAGUGUGUAACGAGUGGUGUCGUGCGUCCUCAUUUUUCCAUCUUCUUUCACGCGUUCGUUCUUUCUCACCUCUGUGCCGACCUGUUCCGAGUGAAUCCGCCAAUCAGUGAACAAAAGAAGUCAGCUGACGAGAGACGACUUUACCGCACAUCCUGUCAACGAAAAUACUCCUCGUUUACACGCUGCACCUCGUUUAAUGCAGUGGCCUUCUAGCGGUGUUAAACUUUAUGAAAACUUUGAUAUUGCAGAUCGAGGCGUUGCCAAGGUCACGAGGGAGGAGCUGAGGUCAUCGCUGCACCUAUGUUGUGCGGCGAACUCCUGAACGGUGGCUUCGUCAGUACCGGAGCGGUACCGGUGGUUUCCUACAGUCUCUUAGGAUUCUGGUUACCCGGCUGUAUACGUGCCACCAGUCCUACCUCGCUGAAUUCCUCGUAUUUGACCCUGUUGGCCGAGCUGCUGGCCAGGGGCCACCUGGACCUACGAAGCGAGCUGAUGGACCUCGCAAAGAGGAGCCAUCAGGCUCCUACCAACGGUGCGGUCGACCUUGACAUCGAUCUGCACGGCGACGACAUCGACGAGAACGUCUUCCUCGAAAACGGUCUGCUCUCCUUCGAGAAUCCCAACUACCACCUCGAUCCAGCACGUCUGGACGAUGCCCUGAACAGCAACGAGAACGGCAGUUCCCUGUACGACGAAUUAUAUCAAGAGCUAGUUGGAAAUGGCGGCAGAGGCGGCGAAGUAACCGGUGGCGAUAGCGGGGGUGGUGGCACAAGGGUUCAAGCACGCAGAACAUACGCCACAUUGGAUCUAGGUAGCAUGGGAGUGGACGUCACUCAGGGUCCUCUCACGCAAGAUUCCGUGACGGAUGAUGCGGCCGACAACACGGACAACCAUAACCUAGGGUACGGCAGCGAGGGUGUUGCGGAGUCCGCCCUCGUCGACGACACCCUCAACGGAAAUCCUCGAUCUUCACCGUCGUCUUCUUCGAUUCUGCCUCCCCUUCAGUCAGGAUCGACUUCGGACACGAUCGACGCUGAAAAUCUAACCGGUUCGAGAAAUUAUUGCGAGAAAGCGGAUAACGAAACGACAGACAUGGGCGGCGUUCCUCACGUGGAGGGUGGACUGAAUAGCGAGCUAUACGCGGUUCCUGUGAAACGAAGGCAACCGAAGGAUCAGAAGAACAAUGCGAGCCUGCAGAACAAUGCCCAGGAGAAACCGUCGGAAGUGGAUACGAACGAAUGCGAGGAUAAAGAUGAGAAUCUACCGCCCGGAUGGCAAAAACACGAGGGUGGGUGUCCAAGAAUUCGCGAGCCAGCCAAUUACGAGAACGGACCUUAUUACUGGCACGUCAAAAGCGGCAAUAUUCAGAGAGAGCCACCGGAGGCGCUUCCACACUCCAAGAGGGAGUCUCGUAGGAGCCUUAUCAAAGAUAAUGAUAGCAUAAACAAUUUCCACACUUUGAGCGGCAUGGUGAACACGGUGACCCGUAGCAACACCAGCUCGGCUUUGGAUCAGGAGUUGGAGAACAAGAGGAAGGUGGAAUUAGCUCUUAAACGAAGAAGCUACCCCGCCCGAGCAGAUUCAGAGGGCAGAGACAAACCGAUCCGCUUCGCCGUGCGUUCCCUCGGCUGGACAGAGAUCGCCGAGGAGGAUCUGACACCCGAAAGAAGCAGCAAAGCGGUGAACAAAUGCAUCGUGGACUUGUCACUCGGCAGAAACGAUCUUCUGGACGUGGUUGGUCGAUGGGGCGACGGCAAAGACUUGUUUAUGGAUCUCGACGAAGGUGCUUUGAAGCUGAUAGACCCGGAGAACCUAACCGUGCUCAACACACAACCGAUUCACACGGUCAGGGUGUGGGGUGUUGGUAGAGACCACUGCCGCGAAAGGGACUUCGCUUAUGUGGCAAGAGACCGAUCGACCCGGAAACACAUGUGCCAUGUGUUCCGUUGCGACAUACCGGCACGUACGAUCGCUAACACGCUUCGCGAUAUUUGCAAGAAGAUCAUGAUCGAACGGUCGCAACAUCAGAAUCUGGCGAAACCGGUGGACAUUAAUGGGAGAACGAGCCUCGCUACCAGACCUACUAACCUGCCUACUGAGCAUCGACGAUUUCAUAAAAACGGACAAGCACUAGUCACACAAUCUUUCCCAACGCCCAUGGAGGAGCCGAAGAAAGUGCUACGGGCACAGUAUCUUGGAUCCAUGCAAGUAUCUCAGGCGACUGGAAUGGAAGUUUUAAACGACGCGAUAGAUCACAUCGUAUCCAACACCCCUAUCAAUCAAUGGCGAAACGUGAACGUUGCUGUGGCACCCAGCAUGAUUUCUAUCCUUACACCAAAUGAGGAGAAACUUAUCACCGAGUGCCGAGUACGUUAUCUGUCGUUCCUCGGUAUCGGCCGCAACGUGAAACAAUGCGCGUUUAUAAUGCACACCGCGCAAGAUCUCUUCAUCGCACACGUCUUCAAUUGUGAGCCUAGCAGCGGAGCCCUUUGCAAAACCAUCGAAGCCGCUUGCAAGCUGAGGUACCAGAAAUGCUUAGACGCACAUCCUCAAGGCUUCAGAAACGCCAGCAGUCUGAACACUCCUAGCGGAAAAGGUCUUGGCGCUACCCUGAAGUCGUUGGUUGGUUCACUGACUGGACGUAGAAAUAAGCAGGGAACUGUGGCCGCUGCCUGCUGAGCGAGAGGUGAUCAGACACAGACAUCUGCAAUCGCCGCUGACCUUGAAAUACUUUAGCGGAUCGCCACCAAGCGCGUCCCUCAGGUCACUCCUUUCGCCGUCUCUGGACAACAGGCGUAUUCAGUUAGCCCGUUGGGAGAGCAACCCUUAAUAUGGAAAUAAAUACCAGCCGCAGUUCAAGCCAAGUAAGAAAGAAGCACGGAGGAACGCGAACAGGAAUUAUAUUCAUUAGGGAAGCGAGACGAGGAUGACCAGACCACACGAACUUCUAAACACGUAAACACGAAUAAUUAUAUAGGAGAGACACGCAUAGAGAGAUUACCACGCGACGAUACACUAUUAUAGUUAACACGCUAAAUAUACAGACACACACGGUGACACACACAGGCAGGUAACAGGGAGUUUAUUUUUUAUGGCGAAAUAAGUAGAAGAACUUGCACCUUGUGAGAGCGAGAAGACGACACGGCAAGCGCUGUACGCGACCGUCCUUUUAAAUCCAUGGGGAAUAAACAGACCGAGACGAGCUACCUACCGAUCUUGACACUCGCAAUGAACGGUACACACGUAUUGUCGUACGCACAAUCGCUGUGCAGUAACGCUAUCGCCUAUGCAAACACUCAUUCUCUGUUAACGUUGUACCGAAUCAUUCAUCGUCGCCAUGGACAGUUUCAUGAAUAAAGUUUCGUGAGAAAAACAAACUACAGAAACCGUCAGCGACUCGUCCAGAGAGUUUAUUCACCGUCACGACUACCUUUCUCCGACAACGUUUGCACGCGUGUUCACGGAAUAGUAAAAACGUACGCGUACACAACUAUAUUUACUCGCAGAUUCGUCAUUAAUCGCACGUGCACAGCAUCGAUCGCACCGUCACACGGUAGAGUUAGGGCGAAAUCGAGUUUAUUCGAUCAAACAUCGACGAUGAACAACACCGGAUCCAUCCAGUUAACAAACCGCUGGCUGGACGAUCGUUGACGAUGCCUAACGUCGAUCAGUAGAUUAGAAUGCGUGUACCAUCGUGUGCCGUUUUCCUUACCGUUCAUUUUCUACCGAUAGUUCUAGGCUGUUUUCCAAAUAUUCGACAACAACGGCAGCGAAUUGUACAGAGAAGAAAACCAAGAUAUUUCGUCCCUCGAUCCCUCCCGAUUAUUUUCGUACGAUAGCCUCGCGAUUAGACUACCUGACGAUGUAGUGAACCGACGUCGCACACAUGCUGUUCACCGGCGAGAUUGAUAAACGAUGCAUGCAACUCGUUUAUUCGAAUCGAUGUUUCGCGUGUUUUCGCUUGUUCGUGCAUGUGCUUCUCGCGGUUGCUUUUAACGGGACUUGUGGACUUGGGUGAAUGGAAUCAGGAUGACGUCUACGUUACCGAUACUUUGACGAUCGACAAGUCGCUAUUUCAUUUUUAUCUGUGUACUUUAGCUGGUGCUAAUCGCAGUUUUGAAAAUUACUCGUUUCGCAGCGUAUGUUGAAUAAAGUAUCAAAUAUGUUAAUAACAGAAUGACCGCUCGAUAAUUAACUGACAGUCAACUUAAUGUCAGAAGCUAGGCUUUAUGGGCUGAAACCCUUUUGCAGAAAGUUCCAAAGUACCUUCAAGUUCCGUAGUCCUAAAAUUCCAAUAUCACAUUUACCUGCCAGCUACUUAUCGAGCGGCCAGUAUACUGAUUAACACAUCCUCGACGUCCACAAUACUUUACCGUCCCAAAUAGCAAAUCCAAUGUAGCGAACAAGCGAAAAACCCAACUAUCUAGAACGUACCAAGGAAUUAGAAAGACGAGAGGAUCGUUAACCUAAUACGUGCACUGUCAGCAAGAAUUGUCCGGGGCGAGAAAUAUCUUGCUCGCAGGGCAACGGUCGUCCGUCGAGGACGGUCAUCGCGUCGUGGGAGCCAUCGUCAUUGCGAAAGAUACAAAGUUGUGCGGGACCCAGAACGAAGAAAUAUUUCUAAUGUAGCGUUUAAAUAAGACGGCUGGCAAGGUAGGAGAAAGCUUGCGUGAAGAGAGCAUGAGUGUACGUGUGUGUGGUUACAUAGACUGCAUGAUUACGAGGGUUGCCUCUCGCGACAAAUAUUUAUCUAGAUGAGGAUGCGUAACGGAGAAUAGAACCGCGAUGAUGGAUCAUUAUUUGUACAUAAAUACAUGUUACGAUCACCCGCCUUUCACCAUAAGGGACGGGAGAAAGCCUAUAUUGGGCUGAAUGUUAACUUGAAAGGGCACUUCCUAGGAUCCGUGCAUUCGUAGGAUUCUUUUGGAUAUUCAUGGGCGUAGUCAAGGAUGUCAAAUUUUAGUUGAGAUUCGUUUUGUAAGACUGAAUUUUUUUUAUUUAUGAAUCAUUGUCGGAUUUAAAAAUUUUUAAAUCUUCAAAUACCCAAAUUGUUAAUGGUAGUAAAUAUAAUUUUAAGAUGAGGUGAGAACCGGUAGUUCUCUUGGCUACGUCCAUGUGUUCCCUUUCGACUUUCACGCCGCUUCGAUCUUAUUUUCACCUGUGUGCAUCAUGUUGCGUUCCUUCCAUUUACCCGGUGAAUACACGGGUAGACUUGUCACGAACAAUAAACGAAAGGAAACGUCGCGCGACGAGGCCUCCCCUGCGACCCGCAACUCGAAUCUCCAACCCCGAAAUUUUACACGAACGAACCAGCGACGUUUCUUCUGCUAUCGAUAUGUCGUUGAUACAGUUUCAUUGCUUUGGUAUUCAUAUAUAUAUGUAUAUAUAAUAAAUAUAAUAUAUAUAUGAGUAUAAAUAUAAAUAAAUAUAAAUAUAAAUAAAUGAAUGAAUAAAUGAAUAUAUAUAUAGUUGUUGAAUUUGUAUUACCGUAAAGGUAUAAGGGCGAAUCGAGGGUGGUACGAGACAGCCUCGAGAGCGCGACGACAAAUGUGGUGUGGAUGUAAAUAAUUAUUAUUAAUUAUACGCUCGUAUAGAAAAUUAAGAGACUAAAGGGUGAAGGUUGAACAGUACGGAGGUCGAGGACACAUCGUUGCACAUCGUUGCGCGAUUAAAUUAAAACACACGCGAUUCAAAUACCCGUACACGCGAAAACGAGAGAGAGAACAUGUACACACACACAUGCAUACAGAUACACGAACACACGAUACACACGUAAAAAAUUGCGCGUAGCUUAACUGUCUCCUUAAUGUAGGUGUUGAAACGUCGCCGGAAAUGCGAGACGAAAGAGUACCCCCGAGAGGGUCGAAAAGAGGUGACAAGGAGGUGGAGGAGGGUAAAGGAGAAGGGAAGCCACUUGUAAACUGGACUAAUAGAAUAGUGCAAACCUAACUAUAUUUAACUGUGACAUGUAAUAUCCUUAACGAAAGCGAAAAACGAAAAAAAAUGCGAUCUACUGAUAGAAAAGAGUUGUUCUUGCACAAACACGAAUGCUUCAUUGAUAAUUAUAGUGUCUCUCUCUUUCUCUCUUUCUCUAUCUCUCUAUCUUCAGAAGUACAUACCUCUCUGUACCUUAUGGCAAUUCAAUAAUUAACCGACACAACAUAUGUUUCGGCAUCGAAGACGAAGAGAAAAUAUUAAUGAAAUGUGGAACGCUGAACCGCGCCGCGAACGAUUCUCGUCAUCGUUUUAAUUCGACCUCAUCGUUUGAGUAAUCGAUCACCGGAAAACACGCACCGAUCAUUGUUAAUCAUUAUUAUUAUUGUCACGAUCAUUAUCGUCGCGUUGAUACGGAGAAACGAGUGUCGAGAACUCGGCAUCGUCGUCUGCUCGAAUAAUGUUACUAGCAAAAUGAUCCUCAUCAUCGACUAGUUGAGAUAGAAGGAGAGGAAAACGAUUGUGUUCGCGCAAGAAAUUGCGCGGUCAAUUUUCUCGCAGUGAUAGGCAGAUGGUGAACGAAAAUAUUAAUAGCUGCAUUACUAGUUUAACUAUUAUAUUUCCAAAUGUCUUGAGUUCGUAUUGAAAAUUAUUAUCAAGCUUCUAAUUCAGCAAAGUUCUAAAUCUCUUAAUUUCCAAACCCUCAAAUUUAUAAAUUUUCAAACCCCAAAUUUUUUGAUUUUCUAAGAUUCUAUCUAAUUUGAAAAUUCUCGUAUUUUUAAAUGUUUUAAAUGAGUGAUUUUAUGCACAUCUGCCGAUCACUGAGACGAUGAAGAGCGAUCAACAUAUUUGUCGACGUCACACGCGAAAUGAGAAGGCCAACGAGAUUCUAUUUCGCGUUUUGAUCUUAAUUUUUUUCGAAAUAGAAUCUCACUCGUAUCUCGUGGCCGAAACAAGUUGCAACCUAUGAGGAGAGAAAUGAACGAGGCGUUUUGUAAUAUUCAACGUCCGUGUGUCGUUUUAGAAGAGCGUACGAAAGGACAAAGCACUUUGUAUGCACCCAACACCCUCCCUCUCUCCCAUUUGUUCAUGCCCAUUUAUAUCGCGUAGUUGGACCGGUCGAUAAUUAUAACGGACGUGAAAAUACUAUUAUAUAUAUAUACGUAUAUAUACAUAUUAUAUAUAUAUAAAUAUAUAUAUAAAAGCGAUAAGAAUGAAACUACUGUAACUACACCUGCCUCUUGUGAAUAAAUGCCUAUUUGUUUCUUUUCA